GAUGAACGCUGGCGGCGUGCCUAAUACAUGCAAGUCGAGCGAACAGAUGAGGAGCUUGCUCCUCUGACGUUAGCGGCGGACGGGUGAGUAACACGUGGAUAACCUACCUAUAAGACUGGGAUAACUUCGGGAAACCGGAGCUAAUACCGGAUAAUAUAUUGAACCGCAUGGUUCAAUAGUGAAAGACGGUUUUGCUGUCACUUAUAGAUGGAUCCGCGCCGCAUUAGCUAGUUGGUAAGGUAACGGCUUACCAAGGCAACGAUGCGUAGCCGACCUGAGAGGGUGAUCGGCCACACUGGAACGGAGACACGGUCCAGACUCCUACGGGAGGGAGCAGUAGGGAACGUUCCGCAGUGGGCGAAAGCCUGGCGGAACAACGCCGAGUGAGUGAUAAAGGUCUUCGGAGCGUAAAGAUCUGUUAUUAGGGAAGAACAAAUGUGUACGUAACUAUGCACGUCUUGACGGUAACUAAUAAGAAAGCAACGGCUAACUACGUG
rnacentral:rRNA from 1 species